GGGUGCAAGCGUUAUCCGGAUUCACUGGGGUUAAAGGGCGCGUAGGUGGCUUUGUAAGUCAGUGGUGAAAUAUUGCGGCUCAACCGCAAAACUGCCAUUGAUACUGCUUAGCUUGAAUCACGUCGAGGUGGAUGGAAUAAUACAUGUAGCGGUGAAAUGCUUAGAUAUGUAUUAGAACACCGAUUGCGAAGGCAGUUCACUAGGCGUGUAUUGACACUGAGGCUCGAAAGCGUGGGGAUCAAACAGG
rnacentral:rRNA from 1 species